rnacentral:rRNA from 1 species
AACGAACGCUGGCGGCAGGCUUAACACAUGCAAGUCGAACGCAUCCUUCGGGGUGAGUGGCAGACGGGUGAGUAACGCGUGGGAACGUGCCGUUCAGUUCGGGAUAACCCAGGGAAACUUGGGCUAAUACCGGAUACGGGCGCGAGCAGAAAGAUUUAUCGCUGAAGGAUCGGCCCGCGUCUGAUUAGCAAGUUGGUGGGGUAAUGGCCCACCAAGGCGACGAUCAGUAGCUGGUCUGAGAGGAUGAUCAGCCACAUUGGGACUGAGACACGGCCCAAACUCCUACGGGAGGCAGCAGUGGGGAAUAUUGGACAAUGGGCGCAAGCCUGAUCCAGCCAUGCCGCGUGAGUGAUGAAGGCCAUAGGGUUGUAAAGCUCUUUCGUCCGGGACGAUAAUGACGGUACCGGAAGAAGAAGCCCCGGCUAACUUCGUGCCAGCCGCCGCGGUAA